rnacentral:rRNA from 1 species
GACGAACGCUGGCGGCGUGCUUAACAAAUGACAGUCGAAGGGAAAGGCCCUGCUUUUGGGGGGUGCUCGAGUGGCGAACGGGUGAGUAACCCGUGAGUAACCUGCCCUUGACUUUGGGAUAACUUCAGGAAACUGGGGCUAAUACCGGAUAGGAGCUCCUGCUGCAUGGGGGGGGUUGGAAAGUUUCGGCGGUUGGGGAUGGACUCGCGGCUUAUCAGCUUGUUGGUGGGGUAGUGGCUUACCAAGGCUUUGACGGGUAGCCGGCCUGAGAGGGUGACCGGCCACAUUGGGACUGAGAUACGGCCCAGACUCCUACGGGAGGCAGCAGUGGGGAAUAUUGCACAAUGGGCGGAAGCCUGAUGCAGCAACGCCGCGUGCGGGAUGACGGCCUUCGGGUUGUAAACCGCUUUCGCCUGUGACGAAGCGUGAGUGACGGUAAUGGGUAAAGAAGCACCGGCUAACUACGUG